UACGUAGGGGGCAAGCGUUGUCCGGAUUUAUUGGGCGUAAAGAGCGUGUAGGCGGCCAGGUAGGUCAGCUGUGAAAACUCGAGGCUCAACCUCGAGACGUCGGUUGAAACCAUCUGGCUAGAGUCCGGAAGAGGAGAAUGGAAUUCCCGGUGUAGCGGUGAAAUGCGCAGAUAUCGGGAAGAACACCCGUGGCGAAGGCGGUUCUCUGGGACGGUACUGACGCUGAGACGCGAAAGCGUGGGGAGCGAACAGG
rnacentral:rRNA from 1 species